GCAAGAUUAAAACUCAAAGGAAUUGACGGGGGCCCGCACAAGCGGUGGAGUAUGUGGUUUAAUUCGAUGCAACGCGAAGAACCUUACCUGGUCUUGACAUCUCAAGGAUCUCCUGGAAACAGGAGAGUGCUUUCUUUCGAGAGAACUUGAAGACAGGUGCUGCAUGGCUGUCGUCAGCUCGUGUCGUGAGAUGCUGGGUUAAGUCCCGCAACGAGCGCAACCCUCGCCAUUAGUUGCCAUCAUUUAGUUGGGCACUCUAAUGGGACUGCCGGUGUCAAACCGGAGGAAGGUGGGGAUGACGUCAAGUCCUCAUGGCCUUUAUGACCAGGGCUACACACGUACUACAAUGGCCGAUACAAAGGGCAGCCACAGUGCGAACUGGAGCAAAUCCCUUAAAGUCGGUCUCAGUCCGGAUCGGAGUCUGCAACUCGACUCCGUGAAGUUGGAAUCGCUAGUAAUCGUGGAUCAGCAUGCCACGGUGAAUACGUUCCCGGGCCUUGUACACACCGCCCGUCACACCACGGAAGUUGGUUGUACCAGAAGUAGUUGAGCGAACCUUCGGGGCGCAGACUACCAAGGUAUGGCUGGUAACUGGGGUGAAGUCGUAACAAGGUA
rnacentral:rRNA from 1 species